rnacentral:lncRNA from 1 species
CUCCCCUCCCCUCGAGGUGUCACACAUUUCUGAUGACAAUGAAUUGAUUACAAGGAGACAAGAGGAGAGUGUUCAGCUUUUUGGAGAAUGACUAGAAUUAGAUGAGAUUUAGACUGUAGCCUCAUGAAACAGGAUCUCCUGAGCUUCCCUUCAUGCCCUAGCAUAAGAAAUAAAAAUGAUGGGCACAUGUAACUGAGCUUUCACACAACGUAGUUUUUUUGUCAGUCUUGAAUUUGGUGAAAUGUAAGUAGUAGCUCACAGAAAAAAGUUUUUAUCUGUGCCUUCUUACGGUGAUUAACUAUCCUGGGGAUCAUUCUGGGCUUAGCAAAGAAUGACCUUUGUCCUGGAAAACCCCUGAAACCCAGGAAAACCAGGACAUCUGGUUACUCCACAGUCUCACCUGAGGUGUUCUGACCUCACAGAGCAGCCCGGUGACCACAGUGGUAGGGUUAAGUGAGGUCUCUAUUAGGGGCAGGCUUUUGCACAUUUACUUGGGGUUCCUGUAAAUUUCAUCCCUUGACCAAAUAAUGCUUCUGUUGCCAACAGACACAACCACAGGAAUCCUGGGAGUCACCCUGGCUGUGUCUGGAUGUCACAAAAAAUGUGAAGAGCAAAAUCCAGGCAGUUUCAUGAUGUGGUGAUGAUCAAACCCUGUCCCCCAGGGGUGUGAAAAACAGACACCUCUUUAAUAGAAUUUAGUUUUCUUAACUCAGACUUUUUUUGGGCUGAAUUUAUGCUAGCCUGUUUAGUCAUGUCUUCAAGCAACCACUUGUUACAAAGGGUUAAAGUUUUAGCUUGCUUACUAUCAUGAAAAGGGUGAGAGAAAAAGGCUAUUAUUUAGCUAAGAAGACGUAUCCAUUUUUUUUAAGGACAGCAGUCAGGGAUUCAAACGACCCUUCCCAUCUCUUCACUAUUUCACAGUAUUCACUGUCUAAAGGGCUUCCCACCCUCUCUUCAGCCUCCGCAGGACAUAAGCAAAACCAGAUGCCUGCCCUCAGCUGAGGUCCUCAAACAGACAGGCACCCAAAGUGUUGCUGUGGCAAUAAUCUCUGUGUUCCACUUACUGCAGGAAAACAGAAUUUAAUCAUGGGUUCCUUGGACUCCAGCCUUGCCAUAUAGUUCCUGCAGCUAGAAUCCACUGCAUGGAAAAUCUGGCAUACGAUUACUGUCCAGAGCUCUGGAAGAAUGCUAGCCUUGCACAGAUAUUUUCUUUGCCUGGUUAGGCUGUCAAACACCCUGACCUCGUCAAUGUUUUAAAAGGUAGGAGUUGUUACAGUUCUCAGUCCCCUAAGAGGCUGACCAAGUGCUGAGAGGGGCUCCCAGCUUCUCUGCAUUCUGGAAAACCCACCGCAGAGCCCCGCCCUAGUGUGCUUCCGGUAAGAAACCAAAGAAAAAAGCCUACUGUCUGGUCCCUAGCAUUGGCUGCCCACCCUCUGAAAAGCGACUGAGUCCUUGAGUCUCCUGGGAUGUUCAUAUGAAUCCCCUUGAAGCUUUAAUUUGAUAAGACCUCAGUGGAGACUGCUGAACCCCUGGGAUUUAACAUCAUAUAUUAUUCAUUGUUGCUGUUGCCACAGACGUGCUGAUUUUGCCCCUGCUGAGCAAGGCACUUCUGCACAUGGGAACUUGAUGGCUAACCACACUGCAUGUUCUUCAGGCAGGGCCUAUCCCAGAACGUUCCAAGCUGUCUGCUAGCAAGUCUGCAUUAACUCCCUCAAUGCUGCAUGCACGGUGUCCCUGAGUCCUUCACCACCCGCCCCGCCACCAGAGCCAGUCUUUUUAAGAAUUUUGCCUGGGCUGUGUUUUUCAAAGUGCCUCUCUCUAGUGUGCAUCUCUUCUUAAUCACAGAAAGCAGAUCUGAGAGCUUCUAAUGCACUUCUCUAUUACUUCAAGAACACUGUGUAUAAUAAUAAACUCUACAGAAAUAAACCAAAUCACAAGAAGCUUUCAGGUCUGGAGGCUGACAUUUCUCAAGACAGAUGCAAAAACCCAGGCCCAGAGAGAUGAAGAAACCUGGCUAAGGUAACAUGUAAGUUAGUGUCAAAAUCAGGAUAAAACCCAGAUCUUCUGACUCUUAGUAUAGCUCUCUUUUUACCCAGCCACACUGCCUGUGUCCCUGGGACUGUUAGUAAAAUAACAGGUGAGCUGGACCCCCUUUUUGAGAUGACUGGGUAUGUUUACUGUCUGGGUCAGAUCAGUCAAGUACUCUGAGUCUAGGGUUGUUCCUAGAACAGAAGCUGGGGUUGAUGAGCAUUUGUGAGUAUUGGAGAAGGAGUGAGGGGGAGAAGCCUCACACGCAAACCCAGGCCCUGGUUUCAAUUUCGUGUAUGAGAUUACCUGAGAACGGAAUGCAAGUAACAGGCAAAUAAUUGACAUCUCAAACCUAACUGUGUAUGCAUCCUGAGUAGCUAAUAGUGAGCUGUUCACUACUAAUGCUGUGUGUAGGUUCAUCCCAAAGACAGGCUGAUCCACACAUAGACAGGCUGGUCCUAUGAUUAAGGAGUGUGAGCUGGCAUUCCCUUUAUCAGGACAAAGAUAGGUUCUGCUUCCUCUGGAUAGUCUUCAGGCAAAGCUUUACUUAUGGCCUUGCAAAUAACCCAUGGUCUCUUGGUCGAUGAACAAAAUAGCAGUAAAGAAGAUGAAUUCUCCUUAUUUAUCUUCAGUUUUCUCCCUGGAGUGAAAGUGAGGGUUAUUCUCUGGUAUAUUAGAAAAAUAGUACAUUAUACUACCUAAUGGGUUUCAGUCUGACUCAAAAUGAAAG